AGCGGCAGGCUUAACACAUGCAAGUCGAGGGGUAACAUUGUGCUUGCACAGAUGACGACCGGCGCACGGGUGCGUAACGCGUAUAGAACCUACCUUUUACUGGAGAAUAGCCUUUAGAAAUGAAGAUUAAUGCUCCAUGGUAUUGAGUUUUGGCAUCAAGACUUAAUUAAAGAUUUAUUGGUAAAAGAUGGCUAUGCGUCCUAUUAGUUAGAUGGUAAGGUAACGGCUUACCAUGACUUUGAUAGGUAGGGGUCCUGAGAGGGAGAUCCCCCACACUGGUACUGAGACACGGACCAGACUCCUACGGGAGGCAGCAGUGAGGAAUAUUGGGCAAUGGAGGCAACUCUGACCCAGCCAUGCCGCGUGAAGGAUGACUGCCCUAUGGGUUGUAAACUUCUUUUAUACAGGAAGAAACACUGGUAUGUAUACCAGCUUGACGGUACUGUAAGAAUAAGGACCGGCUAACUCCGUGCCAGCAGCCGCGGUAAUACGGAGGGUCCGAGCGUUAUCCGGAAUCAUUGGGUUUAAAGGGUCCGCAGGCGGUCGAUUAAGUCAGAGGUGAAAUCCCAUAGCUCAACUAUGGAACUGCCUUUGAUACUGGUUGACUUGAGUCAUAUGGAAGUAGAUAGAAUGUGUAGUGUAGCGGUGAAAUGCAUAGAUAUUACACAGAAUACCGAUUGCGAAGGCAGUCUACUACGUAUGUACUGACGCUGAGGGACGAAAGCGUGGGGAGCGAACAGGAUUAGAUACCCUGGUAGUCCACGCCGUAAACGAUGGAUACUAGUUGUUGGGCAUUAGCUCAGUGACUAAGCGAAAGUGAUAA
rnacentral:rRNA from 1 species